rnacentral:rRNA from 1 species
GAUGAACGCUGGCGGCGUGCCUAAUACAUGCAAGUCGAGCGAACGGACGAUAAGCUUGCUUUUCUGAUGUUAGCGGCGGACGUGUGAGUAACACGUGGAUACCCUACCUAUAAGACUGGGAUAACUUCGGGAAACCGGAGCUAAUACCGGAUAAUAUUUUGAACCGCAUGUUUCAAAAGUGAAAGACGGUCUUUCUGUCACUUAUAGAUGGAUCCGCGCUUCAUUGGCUAGUUGGUAAGGUAACGGCUUACCAAGGCAACGAUGCAUAGCCGACCUGAGAGGGUGAUCGGCCACACUGGAACUGAGACACGGUCCAGGCUCCUACGGGAGGCAGCAGUAGGGAAUGUUCCGCAAUGGGCGAAAGCCUGACGGAGCAACGCCGCGUGAGUGAUGAAGGUCUUCGGAUCGUAAAACUCUGUUAUUAGGGAAGAACAUAUGUGUAAGUAACUGUGCACAUCUUGACGGUACCUAAUCAGAAAGCAACGGCUAACUACGUG